ensembl:lncRNA
UGGAGAGCCUCCACUUUGAAAAGCUUCGGAUUGGAGAUUUGGGGAGAGUGGUGCGCCUUCAUAGGGCAUGGAAGCUCUGUCCCCUUUCCCCAUACCUUGCUGUAGGCAUCUUUUUCAUCUGGCUGUUCCUGAGUUAUAUAUCCUUUUAUAUAAACUGGUAAUCUAGACUGUCUCUGGAACCGUGUGAGGAACUGCUGGAUUCUGUUGUCUCUUGGACAGUCCCCUAUAAUGAGCCCUCACCUGAUUGACAAUGAGCUGCUUGGUUUGUGGACAUCAGUUCCAGGGUGAAUGGACAAUAUCCUGUUGGGAAGGCCACCAUUCUGAAAGAAGAAGUGAUCACAGGACCAGGGCUGCAACUACAAAGGCUGGAGACAGGGAUGAUUCCUAAGCAAGGAACUGUAACCUUGUUUUUAACCUUUAUGUCACAAUUCCUGAGACCCCGAUGGGGCAGGAUAUGCCUUUACUCCAUCUGGCAAAAUUGGGGCUAACAGUGAAUGCAGCUAUAUUGCCUGGUGGUAAAGAGAGUCCACUAGUUCUGCAGCUUGUAACCUUACCCUAUAUGAAUGAGAGUGGGUCGAGGGAGAGGCAUUUGCUUGACUAUUAUUGCUGCCUGCAAUUUAGACCAACGCUGUGGCCCAACCUAAUGUCCCUUCCAAAGGUGGAAAAGUUUGGGUAUAAAUGGAGAGAAGAAAAAAUAGUAGCUGUGGGUAAAGGAAUGAAUAAAUUGUUUAUGUAAUGAGGAAAAUUACAAUAUUACAUUAACACCUUGAAAGAGGUUCAGAGGAAGAGAUGAUAUUGUCUCUUAGGUCAGUUUUACCAGAUGCUUGAAAGGGUGAAGCCAUAUAUUGCUGACACCACUCCUGCUUUUGGUACAAGAUUGAAUGGAAGCCUACAAACCUGAGUGGCUUCCCCUGGGAGAUAACUUCAUGUGAUAUGGUAAUGGACUGGAUAGUUACUAAUGACUGAAUGAGAUUCUAGUAAUGUGCCAGUAUCUUUUAAGAUUAUUUUGCUAUGAGGGAUCCCUGUUUGAGGAACAGGGGAUGGAGUGUGAUUGUGUUUCAUAAUCGGAAACACAUAUUUGAUCUUAGUCCCCUUUUCUGAUACAGCUCCUAAACUCUGGGAAUUAACUGUGAUGAGAACAAUAAAGGUGUCUCUCGUUGUGUUAAUGUAGUGAAUUUAGGAAAGCAUCUGAAGAUGAAGGUUAGAUGCCAGGGGAACCAACCUUGUGAUUAGAGGGUUGGGACUUUUAGCCUCACCCAAGACCUCUGGGAAGGGGAGCGGAGCUGGAGAUUGAAUUCAGUCACCAAAGGUCAAUAAUUUAAUUGACAUGCCAAUGUAAUGAAACCUCCAUAAAAGACCAAAAGGACAGAGUUCGGAGAGCUUCCAGGUUCAUGAACACAUGGCGGUUUAGGGAGAGUGGUGUGUUUGGAGAGGGUGUGGGAGCUCCUGGCCAUUUCUUCAUAGCUUGCCCUAUGCAUCUCUUCCAUCUGGCUGUUCUGAGUUAUAUCCUCUUAUAAUAAACCAGUAAACUGGUAAGUAAAAUGUUUUUCUGAGCUGCUCCAGCAAAUUAAACUCAAGGAAGGGGUUGUUGGAACCUCUGAUCUGUAAUUGGUCAGUCAGAAGCCCUGGUGACAAUCUGGACUUGUGAUUGGCUUCUGAAGUGGCAGGGGUCGGGAGGCAGUCUUGUAGGACUGAACCCUUAACCUGUGGGAUCUGAUGCUUUCUCGAGGCGGAUGGUGUCAGAAUUGAGUUGAAUGUCGGAUGCCCAGCUGGUCUCCAAGAAUUGCUUGAUGUGGGGAAAAUUUUCCACAUGUUGGAAUUGGGUACAGAAUUAUAAGCCCUAACUCC